GACAGAGGUGCCAAGCGUUAGGCGGAAUCACUGGGCGUAAAGGGUGCGUAGGCGGUCGGGUAAGUCUGAUGUGAAAUCUCACAGCUUAACUGUGAAACUGCAUUGGAUACUAUCCGGCUCGAGGAAUGGAGGGGAGACUGGAAUACUUGGUGUAGCAGUGAAAUGCGUAGAUAUCAAGUGGAACACCAGUGGCGAAGGCGAGUCUCUGGACAUUUCCUGACGCUGAGGCACGAAGGCCAGGGGAGCAAACGGG
rnacentral:rRNA from 1 species